rnacentral:rRNA from 1 species
GGUUAAGCGACUAAGCGUACACGGUGGAUGCCCUGGCAGUCAGAGGCGAUGAAGGACGUGCUAAUCUGCGAUAAGCGUCGGUAAGGUGAUAUGAACCGUUAUAACCGGCGAUUUCCGAAUGGGGAAACCCAGUGUGAUUCGUCACACUAUCAUUAACUGAAUCCAUAGGUUAAUGAGGCGAACCGGGGGAACUGAAACAUCUAAGUACCCCGAGGAAAAGAAAUCAACCGAGAUUCCCCCAGUAGCGGCGAGCGAACGGGGAGGAGCCCAGAGCCUGAAUCAGUGUGUGUGUUAGUGGAAGCGUCUGGAAAGGCGCGCGAUACAGGGUGACAGCCCCGUACACAAAAAUGCACAUGCUGUGAGCUCGAUGAGUAGGGCGGGACACGUGGUAUCCUGUCUGAAUAUGGGGGGACCAUCCUCCAAGGCUAAAUACUCCUGACUGACCGAUAGUGAACCAGUACCGUGAGGGAAAGGCGAAAAGAACCCCGGCGAGGGGAGUGAAAAAGAACCUGAAACCGUGUACGUACAAGCAGUGGGAGCCUCUUAAUGGGGUGACUGCGUACCUUUUGUAUAAUGGGUCAGCGACUUAUAUUCUGUAGCAAGGUUAACCGAAUAGGGGAGCCGAAGGGAAACCGAGUCUUAACUGGGCGUUAAGUUGCAGGGUAUAGACCCGAAACCCGGUGAUCUAGCCAUGGGCAGGUUGAAGGUUGGGUAACACUAACUGGAGGACCGAACCGACUAAUGUUGAAAAAUUAGCGGAUGACUUGUGGCUGGGGGUGAAAGGCCAAUCAAACCGGGAGAUAGCUGGUUCUCCCCGAAAGCUAUUUAGGUAGCGCCUCGUGAAUUCAUCUCCGGGGGUAGAGCACUGUUUCGGCAAGGGGGUCAUCCCGACUUACCAACCCGAUGCAAACUGCGAAUACCGGAGAAUGUUAUCACGGGAGACACACGGCGGGUGCUAACGUCCGUCGUGAAGAGGGAAACAACCCAGACCGCCAGCUAAGGUCCCAAAGUCAUGGUUAAGUGGGAAACGAUGUGGGAAGGCCCAGACAGCCAGGAUGUUGGCUUAGAAGCAGCCAUCAUUUAAAGAAAGCGUAAUAGCUCACUGGUCGAGUCGGCCUGCGCGGAAGAUGUAACGGGGCUAAACCAUGCACCGAAGCUGCGGCAGCGACACUAUGUGUUGUUGGGUAGGGGAGCGUUCUGUAAGCCUGUGAAGGUGGCCUGUGAGGGUUGCUGGAGGUAUCAGAAGUGCGAAUGCUGACAUAAGUAACGAUAAAGCGGGUGAAAAGCCCGCUCGCCGGAAGACCAAGGGUUCCUGUCCAACGUUAAUCGGGGCAGGGUGAGUCGACCCCUAAGGCGAGGCCGAAAGGCGUAGUCGAUGGGAAACAGGUUAAUAUUCCUGUACUUGGUGUUACUGCGAAGGGGGGACGGAGAAGGCUAUGUUGGCCGGGCGACGGUUGUCCCGGUUUAAGCGUGUAGGCUGGUUUUCCAGGCAAAUCCGGAAAACCAAGGCUGAGGCGUGAUGACGAGGCACUACGGUGCUGAAGUGACAAAUGCCCUGCUUCCAGGAAAAGCCUCUAAGCAUCAGGUAACAUCAAAUCGUACCCCAAACCGACACAGGUGGUCAGGUAGAGAAUACCAAGGCGCUUGAGAGAACUCGGGUGAAGGAACUAGGCAAAAUGGUGCCGUAACUUCGGGAGAAGGCACGCUGAUAUGUAGGUGAAGCGACUUGCUCGUGGAGCUGAAAUCAGUCGAAGAUACCAGCUGGCUGCAACUGUUUAUUAAAAACACAGCACUGUGCAAACACGAAAGUGGACGUAUACGGUGUGACGCCUGCCCGGUGCCGGAAGGUUAAUUGAUGGGGUUAGCGGUAACGCGAAGCUCUUGAUCGAAGCCCCGGUAAACGGCGGCCGUAACUAUAACGGUCCUAAGGUAGCGAAAUUCCUUGUCGGGUAAGUUCCGACCUGCACGAAUGGCGUAAUGAUGGCCAGGCUGUCUCCACCCGAGACUCAGUGAAAUUGAACUCGCUGUGAAGAUGCAGUGUACCCGCGGCAAGACGGAAAGACCCCGUGAACCUUUACUAUAGCUUGACACUGAACAUUGAGCCUUGAUGUGUAGGAUAGGUGGGAGGCUUUGAAGUGUGGACGCAAGUCUGCAUGGAGCCGACCUUGAAAUACCACCCUUUAAUGUUUGAUGUUCUAACGUUGGCCCCUAAUCGGGGUUGCGGACAGUGUCUGGUGGGUAGUUUGACUGGGGCGGUCUCCUCCUAAAGAGUAACGGAGGAGCACGAAGGUUGGCUAAUCCUGGUCGGACAUCAGGAGGUUAGUGCAAUGGCAUAAGCCAGCUUGACUGCGAGCGUGACGGCGCGAGCAGGUGCGAAAGCAGGUCAUAGUGAUCCGGUGGUUCUGAAUGGAAGGGCCAUCGCUCAACGGAUAAAAGGUACUCCGGGGAUAACAGGCUGAUACCGCCCAAGAGUUCAUAUCGACGGCGGUGUUUGGCACCUCGAUGUCGGCUCAUCACAUCCUGGGGCUGAAGUAGGUCCCAAGGGUAUGGCUGUUCGCCAUUUAAAGUGGUACGCGAGCUGGGUUUAGAACGUCGUGAGACAGUUCGGUCCCUAUCUGCCGUGGGCGCUGGAGAACUGAGGGGGGCUGCUCCUAGUACGAGAGGACCGGAGUGGACGCAUCACUGGUGUUCGGGUUGUCAUGCCAAUGGCACUGCCCGGUAGCUAAAUGCGGAAGAGAUAAGUGCUGAAAGCAUCUAAGCACGAAACUUGCCCCGAGAUGAGUUCUCCCUGAGACUUAGAGUCUCCUGAAGGAACGUUGAAGACGACGACGUUGAUAGGCCGGGUGUGUAAGCGCAGCGAUGCGUUGAGCUAACCGGUACUAAUGAACCGUGAGGCUUAACCUUACAACGCCGAAGAUGUUUUG